rnacentral:rRNA from 1 species
UACAGAGGGUGCGAGCGUUAAUCGGAAUUACUGGGCGUAAAGCGCGCGUAGGCGGCUUUGCAAGUCGGGUGUGAAAUCCCCAGGCUUAACCUGGGAACUGCAUUCGAGACUGCAUUGCUAGAGUAUGGGAGAGGGAAGUGGAAUUUCCGGUGUAGCGGUGAAAUGCGUAGAUAUAGGAAGGAAUACCAGUGGCGAAGGCGGCCUCCUGGAUCAACACUGACGCUGAGGUGCGGAAGCGUGGGGAGCAAACAGG